CCUACGGGAGGCAGCAGUGAGGAAUUUUCCGCAAUGGGCGAAAGCCUGACGGAGCAAUGCCGCGUGAAGGAUGAAGGCCUAUGGGUUGUAAACUUCUUUUCUCAGAGAAGAAAUUUUGACGGUAUCUGAGGAAUAAGCAUCGGCUAACUCUGUGCCAGCAGCCGCGGUAAGACAGAGGAUGCAAGCGUUAUCCGGAAUGAUUGGGCGUAAAGCGUCUGUAGGUGGCUUAAAAAGUCUCCUGUCAAAGAUCAGGGCUUAACCCUGGGCCGGCAGGAGAAACUCUUAGGCUAGAGUUUGGUAGGGGCAGAGGGAAUUCCCGGUGGAGCGGUGAAAUGCGUAGAGAUCGGGAGGAACACCAAAGGCGAAAGCACUCUGCUGGGCCACAACUGACACUGAGAGACGAAAGCGAGGGGAGCAAAAGGGAUUAGAUACCCCUGUAGUCCUCGCCGUAAACGAUGGAUACUAGAUGUUGGAUAGGUUAAAGCAUUCAGUAUCGUAGCUAACGCGUGAAGUAUCCCGCCUGGGGAGUAUGCUCGCAAGAGUGAAACUCAAAGGAAUUGACGGCNGAGAGNGCGAGACGACGACGAGGGAGAGG
rnacentral:rRNA from 1 species